rnacentral:rRNA from 1 species
AUGAUGGACUGGGCCCCUGUGGUGGUAGGGGUGGUGUUGUUCGUGGUGCUCUCGCCGGGGCUGCUGUUCGAGCUGCCGGGGACGUAUGGGAGGGUCGACUUCGGCGGCCUCCGCACCACCGGCAAGUCCAUCUUCGUCCACACCCUUGUCUUCUUCACCAUCUUCGCCAUCAUCAUCCUCGGGUUCGAAGUCCACAUCUACACCGGCGCCUAG